AAGUGGUCUGGGGUNCAGGCUUCAAACCUG
rnacentral:piRNA from 1 species